rnacentral:tRNA from 1 species
GGGGUUGUGUCUCAGUGGUAGAGGGCUCGUCUACUAUGUGUGAGGCACUGAGUUCAAUUCUCAGCACCA